rnacentral:rRNA from 1 species
GAUGAACGCUAGCUACAGGCUUAACACAUGCAAGUCGAGGGGAAACGGCAUCGAAAGCUUGCUUUUGAUGGGCGUCGACCGGCGCACGGGUGAGUAACGCGUAUCCAACCUGCCCAUCACUUGGGAAUAACCUUGCGAAAGUAAGACUAAUGCCCAAUGACAUCCCACGAAGGCAUCCGAAUGGGAUUAAAGAUUUAUCGGUGAUGGAUGGGGAUGCGUCUGAUUAGCUUGUUGGCGGGGUGACGGCCCACCAAGGCAACGAUCAGUAGGGGUUCUGAGAGGAAGGUCCCCCACAUUUGAACUGCGACACGGUCCAAAACCCUACGGGAGGCAGCAGUGAGGAACAUUGGGCAAGGGGCGAGAGCCUGAACCAGCCAAGUAGCGUGCAGGAUGACGGCCCUAUGGGUUGUAAACUGCUUUUAUAAGGGAAUAAAGUGGGUCACGUGUGACUUUUUGCAUGUACCUUAUGAAUAAGGACCGGCUAAUUCCGUG